CGCAGAACUAUUUCAAAUAACAAUUAAAUUCGUUUUAGCGAGAAAAAAUUUUAGGGGUUAGGUGCACUUUAAGCAGAGUUUAUUUGAAAGAUCAACUCCUGCGUCUUUGUGAAACGUAUGAGGUCCAUUUCCGAAGGGCAGAUACAAAGAAGACCUUGGCCACAAGUUUGAUGGAAGCUACAAGGAGCAAAACCUCAAUUCCAUUCACUGACAGGCAAUUUCAAGUGGUUAACACUGUAGCAGAUGAACGCCAUGGUGCUGUUAGGAUUACACUUAGAUUGACAGGUACAUACCUGUACAUUGUUUCAUGCAAGUUGUCUUUAUGUAAUACACUGCCACAAUUCACAUGAGGUGAAAAAUUCUGACUUAUUGUCACCCUGGCGAUUGCUUUUUUUUAUUUAUCUUGCCAGUCAGUUAACCUAGAAUGCAAUAUGCAGUUGAGAAGCUUAAUAUCUUUCCAAUCAUGAAUUUUAAAAAUAUUAAAAAUUAACACUGUUGUACACAAAUUACACGAAAUUGCCUGAUUGGCCUUGUAUGUAAGAAGAUAUACAUUGUUUUGAAAAAAUCUGGUGGAAAGCAAUGGUAGACUAAAGCAUACCUUUACCAGAGCAAACUGCAUUAGAAGGUAGUGAACAAGAUGAGAAAGAGCUAACACUCGGAUUGCCUGCAUUACUUUUUCGACUUAUUGUUGUUUGUCCAAACCUGAUAGAAUUCUGAGUCGAUUGCUGUUUGACAUAGGUUGGGUUAUUAUUCUGCCCGUUGCAUAAGCGCACCUGACAGAAGUGAUUUUCUACGCAGUCUUGAUUGACCAAUGCUGGCUUGAUUACAGAUGAGGGAAACUGAGUGAGCUUUGUGGCGACCAUAGCCCUAAAUCCCAAACACAUGCAUUGAAGGUCAAACCAAAGCUUUGCAGAGACAAAGUUACUAUUUUUCUGGGAAGUUUCCUCUCUCCAUUCAAUCAGGAAUCGAUAGAAUUCAUCUAGAUGUUGUAGACGUUGAUCUUUUGUACAAGCGAUAGGUAGUUUGUCAUUGAACAAUUGAAUUAGCCUUGAGGUAUGGCAUAACAGGACGAUUAUUCCAUCCAGUUGAGAACCAUCCUUGCUGUUGGCUGUCAGAUCAUCCUGGUAUUUCUGUGGGUAAAACAAACUAUAUGUUUGACACAUAACACAUGUGUGAAAAGGUCUACUGGUUAUUUAAGUCUAUAUUUAAUUUGGUAAUUAAGUAGUUAAAAAAUGAGUAUCUUCGAGCAUGCUUUAGAGAAAAAUGCCAAGGCUGCAGUAAAAACAAAAACAAUGCAUUUUUCAUUGCAGGUAUGCAAUAUCUAACAGUUAUGCUAAGGAAAUUUCCCCUCUUAUGCCUUAUGUCUUUUAACAUUUCAACUGCAUGAGAAACAACAUCCUAUCAUCAAGAACAUCCUCGGCCAAGUGGUUUCGCAUUUUCGAAGCAGGGUCCAACUCAAAAUGUUGUGUCGUCAGCUUCUCAUGGACAGGGAGGCUGAAGCUGCUUUGGUCCCAGUUAUAUGCGUCUCUAAAUUUCUUCCAUGUCACUGUUUUUCCUUUAAUUUUCAGACACCUGGGCUUGGCACUCUCAUUACUUUUCUCGAUAUUGUUUCUUAUUUUUUUAACGUUGUGCUGAUAAUAAGAGAAAAACAAUAAGAUGCAUAAGUUUUUAUUGUUUUAUUUUAGCAAGGAGUCCAAAAGCAUGACCAGUUUAAUUAAACCACAUCCUUUCAUAAAUGCAGACUUUCCUGUCAGAAGCCAGAGAUGGCAUUUCUUGGCUUCUGAUUGGAUAGUCUGCAUGCCUUGAAAGCAAAUUGAAUUGAUUUAAAGUGGCUCACUUUUGCAUUCUUGCUGUAAGAUUACUUUGUCUUCGUUGCAGCGACUGAAGUGAAUGUUCCCUGUAUUUUUUUCACCAUUAACUUAAUUAAAACUAGGGAAUUCAAAAGGAAGACAACGUGUCUUAGGAAUUCAUGAAGUUAUUAACCUCAGUGUACCUUUGGGUCCAUAAUGAAUACCAAUGGGGUUCCAGUGUAAACAUUAGUUGUCACAAACUGGUCUGCCACUGGGUCUCGUUCACUAAAAUGUAUUUUAAUGAACUGUCUAUGGCAGUCUGCUCCAUCCAUGAUGCACCAGUAAAUGCUUUUAUGAAAAACAAACUAACAAAAUGAGUAAAGAUCGUGUGUUUUAUUUGGUUUGCUAUCUUGUCAAAUAUUAUUUAAUUUUAGUGUUUACUUUUCUGAGUUCAUAAAGAGUGCUUAGGUACUGUAGUAACAUAGUUGUACUUCAAGCUUAUGAAGUAGUUUGCAUUAAGAGGAAACUAAAUAACUGAUAGGAAGAAAAGUGUGUAAAGGGUUUCAUAGGUUUGUGUUGUUUGUUACUACAGGGGAAUCAGAGAGAGAAUCAAGACCAACUUAAAAUCAGCUGGCAGCAUCAACAGAAUUAAGAAUCUACUUUGAGCAUAAGAACUGUGGAGGAAGGAGAAGGCUUACACAAAUCCAAAUUCCAGCAUUUUUCGGACUCCAUCCCAGAAGAUAAAAUACAGGUCACUAGGUGAACAAUCCCCAGAUGGGAACUGCGCUAUGGGGAAGCGAAAGCCCCCGUCACUAAGGAAGAUGAAUUGCAGUACAUGUGGGGCCAGCUGAGGUUCAGAUUUUACUGCAAAUGAACCAUAGGAUGUAUAAUUUCACGUCUUAAAACAUGUAUCAUGGGUAGAUGUCCCGAGCUCAAAACGUACCUGCAAGACUUGUCAUCACGUCAUGGCUCUCACCCAGGUCAACGAAGCCAACAAGGCGAUGCUUGCCAUGUUUUAUGACCAUUUCAAGGUUUUCCUUGUAAGAAGUUCAGUAAUAUCAGUAUCGUAAUUAUGAACUGUAAAAUUCUUAACAAGAAACAGCAAACUUGUACUGUCUUAUAUUUAAUAUACUUUUAAACAACAUUAAAAUUGUUGAAUGACAAUUUAUGGGUUAUCCAAGUGCUUUUGGACCGGUAUGAUGUUGAGCAAGUUUUUGUCAGCACUAGUAACGAACCUGAAUUUCCAUUUCGUCCAUAACGAAUCCUCCCCAGUAAUCCUCUUUUUUCAGUGCCUUUUCUCGUACAGCUUCCAUGCACAACCUUAGCACCUGAUCAUUCCACCCAGGUACCUAGUCAACUUUGUUCUUGUAAAGUAAAGGGAAAAUAUGGGAAAUGGUUUAUGGUGUUUUAACUUCAUAAUAAUAUAUUGCAAUCACACGACAUGAAUCAGUUUGAAGAGGAGAGGAAAUAGCCCCUAAACAAUCAGAUAAAACGGGACUUUAUGAGUAGGAAAUCGUUAAGCUGGAUUUAACAAGAUACAGGAUAUUUAGGCCAAAAAUUAAUAGGGUAUGGGAUAAACAGACCCCCCUCCCUUUAUGGGGCCUCAUCAAUGCUCCGCUGUUAAGGGUAAAUUAAAAGUAUGCCAACUCCAAAAAAGCAUUUAUUCUGGACUUUUAGUUUUUAUAUUACGAUGGAAUAUGAAAGUUUGGUAUCCCAUUUUAGGGGUUUGAAGUUAGGUAACGCACCUCCUUGUUAGUAAUUUCUAAGCCCACAAUCGUUACCCUAAAUAGAUAGAUAAAGACGGCGUUAGAGAAAUAAACAGAGAGUAAAAUAUGUCCCGAAUGCUGUACCGUUUAACACGAUUUUCUUUCAUGACACCCUUUCUGCCUUUGCAAAGAGAUCGAGGCACAACAUCCCGCACUAUAUAUGAAAACAACUAUCCUUAGCUCAUUGACAGCCAUUAGUUUUUGAUGAGAUUUUGAAUUCAGUACUACCAAUAAAAUACGGAUAGAAUUCCA